GUGCACCACCUUUACAACGGAUCGUCCGGCACGUUCCUGCCGGUGAAGGAGUCAUCC
rfam:Tetrasphaera jenkinsii Ben 74 genomic scaffold, 1541_scaffold1